rnacentral:misc_RNA from 1 species
AAAGUCGUAACAAGGUAACCGUAGGUGAACCUGCGGUUGGAUCAUUACCAAUCCCCAAUUGCUGGUUUGUCGCAUUGGCAAGCCUCCAACCAACCCCUCAUGUGCAUCAAAGAUGUUUCUGGCAGAACCAGCCGCAAUGGCCAGGCUGCCGCUCACCUGUGCAAACUACGCUUGCUUGAUGUGUUGUGUGCUGACUGAACGAUUCCUUGCGAGGAAUGCAACGAAUAGUUGAAAAACAACUUUUGACAACGGAUCUCUUGGCUCUC